UGUUUGACUGUUUUAGUGUGGUGGAAGAUGAUGCAGGGAGUGGUUUAUGGUGAGGUGAGUUAAAGGUAGUAGUUAAGUGUGGAGUUUGUUUAAGCUUUCAUGGUGGUGGAGAUCGCGUACGACGAAGGAGGUUCAUGGUGGGAGGCGGAGUGAAACAAAGGUGCAAGCUUAUGAAGUUGUUGUGUGGAGGAUGGAAGCGAUAAAAAUGGCGGAAGGAAAAUGUUUAGUGUGGGAGAAGAUGAAAAUGCUUUUAUCAAAGGAUGAAGAGAGUUUAAGUUGGUGUAUAUGUGAGUUAUGUGUUCG
rnacentral:lncRNA from 1 species